rnacentral:rRNA from 1 species
CCUACGGGAGGCAGCAGUCGAGAAUCAUUCACAAUGGGGGAAACCCUGAUGGUGCGACGCCGCGUGGGGGAAUGAAGGUCUUCGGAUUGUAAACCCCUGUCAUGUGGGAGCAAAUUAAAAAGAUAGUACCACAAGAGGAAGAGACGGCUAACUCUGUGUCAGCAGCCGCGGUAAUACAGAGGUCUCAAGCGUUGUUCGGAAUCACUGGGCGUAAGGCGUGCGUAGGCUGUUUCGUAAGUCGUGUGUGAAAGGCGCGGGCUCAACCCGCGGACUGCACAUGAUACUGCGAGACUAGAGUAAUGGAGGGGGAACCGGAAUUCUCGGUGUAGCAGUGAAAUGCGUAGAUAUCGAGAGGAACACUCGUGGCGAAGGCGGGUUCCUGGACAUUAACUGACGCUGAGGCACGAAGGCCAGGGGAGCGAAAGGGAUUAGAUACCCGGGUAGUC